ACUCAAUAGAUACCUGUAGUCCCAGCUGUAAACGAUGCGCGUUAGGUGUAUCGGUGACCACGAGUCACCGAGGUGCCGAAGGGAAACCGUGAAACGUGCCGCCUGGGAAGUACGGUCGCAAGGCUGAAACUUAAAGGAAUUGGCGGGGGAGCACCACAACAGGUGGAGCCUGCGGUUUAAUCGGACUCAACGCCGGGAAGCUCACCGGAUAAGACAGCUGAAUGAUAGCCGGGUUGAAGACUCUGCUUGACUAGCUGAGAGGAGGUGCAUGGCCGUCGUCAGUUCGUACUGUGAAGCAUCCUGUUAAGUCAGGCAACGAGCGAGACCCACGCCAACAGUUGCCAGCAUGUCCUCCGGG
rnacentral:rRNA from 1 species